CCCGUUAAAGGGUGAUGGCGUGCCUUUUGUAGAAUGAACCGGCGAGUUACUGUAUGGAGCGAGGUUAAGCAGGAUAUGCGGAGCCGAAGCGAAAGCGAGUCUUAAGAGGGCGAAAGUUGCAUGCAGUAGACCCGAAACCGGGUGAUCUAGCCAUGACCAGGUUGAAGUUGGGGUAAAACCCGAUGGAGGACCGAACCGACCCCCGUUGAAACGUUGGCGGAUGAGUUGUGGCUAGGGGUGAAAUUCCAAUCGAACCCGGAGAUAGCUGGUUCUCCCCGAAAUAGCUUUAGGGCUAGCGUCGAGAGAAGAGUUGCGUGAAGGUAGAGCACUGAAUAUGUGAUGGCCCCAUCUCGGGGUACUGAGCAUAAUCAAACUGCGAAUGUCACGGAAACAUACUCGGCAGUCAGACAGCGGGUGAUAAGGUCCGUUGUCAAGAGGGAAACAGCCCAGACCAUCAGCUAAGGUCCCAAAAUGUAUGCUAAGUGGAAAAGGAUGUGGAGAUGUACAGACAACUAGGAGGUUGGCUCAGAAGCAGCCAUCCUUUAAAGAGUGCGUAACAGCUCACUAGUCGAAUGACUCUGCGCCGAUAAUUUACCGGGGCUAAGCAUACUACCGAAGCUAUGGAUCCCAAGGGAUGGUAGGGGAGCGUUCCAUGAACGGAGAAGCGUGAUCGAGAGGACGCGUGGAGAUCAUGGAAGAGAGAAUGCCGGUGUGAGUAGCGGAACGUGGGUGAGAAUCCCACGCACCGAAAACCCAAGGUUUCCAGAGGAAGGUUCGUCCGCUCUGGGUAAGUCGGGACCUAAGGCGAGGCCGAGAGGCGUAGUCGAUGGACAACAGGUAGAGAUUCCUGUACUCAUAUAUAUGUGAAGGAAUGACGGAGAGAGGAAGCUGCAGCCAGCGGCUGGAAGAGCUGGUGCAAGCGAGAUAUCGGGAUGGCAGGCAAAUCCACCAUCCGAAACGAGAAGGCGUGAAGCGUACGGAAAGCUACGGCGAGUACGGAAGGCAGUGGAGGAACUUCCAAGAAAAGUUUCUAACGUUAAGUAUAUAUGGCCCGUACCGAAAAUGGACACACAUGGGUGAGGAGAGAAUCCUAAGGUGAGCGAGAGAACUAUAGCUAAGGAACUCUGCAAAAUGACUCCGUAACUUAGGGAGAAGGAGUGCUCAUAGAGAUAUGAGCCGCAGUGAAACGGCCCAAGCGACUGUUUACCAAAAACACAGCUCUCUGCUAAGCCGCAAGGCGAAGUAUAGGGGGUGACGCCUGCCCGGUGCUGGAAGGUUAAGGGGAGGGGUUAACGCAAGUGAAGCCCUGAACUGAAGCCCCAGUAAACGGCGGCCGUAACUAUAACGGUCCUAAGGUAGCGAAAUUCCUUGUCAGGUAAGUUCUGACCCGCACGAAAGGCGUAAUGAUUUGGGCGCUGUCUCGACAAUGUCCCCGGCGAAAUUGUAGUACUAGUGAAGAUGCUAGUUACCUGCGAUAAGACAGAAAGACCCCAUGGAGCUUUACUGCAGUUUGAUACUGGGUUUCGAUGAUUUAUGUACAGGAUAGUUGGGAGACUAUGAAAGAGAGGCGUCAGCUUCUCCGGAGUCGUUGUUGGGAUACCAACCUUAAGUUAUUGAAAUUCUAACUUGUAAUCGUAAACCGGUUAGAGGACAAUGUCAGACGGGCAGUUUGACUGGGGCGGUCGCCUCCUAAAGAGUAACGGAGGCGCCCAAAGGUACGCUCAGAUUGGAUGGAAAUCAAUCGACGAGUGCAAAUGCAGAAGCGUGCUUGACUGCGAGAGAAACAACUCGAGCAGGGACGAAAGUCGGGAUUAGUGAUCCGGCGGUGCCGAAUGGAAGGGCCGUCGCUCAACGGAUAAAAGCUACCCUGGUCCUGAAGGGACUCGGAAGCCCGGCUCCUUAUGUAAAAGGGAAUUAUACUGACCAUACUGUGGCGACUUAUUAUGGUGAGGCAAUGGCAGUUGUACAGGCAGAUGGAAACGGACCGGUGAAGGUUACCGUGGCAGAUGAAGAACGGUUUUAUGUGGUGGAAAUUCCAUGUGAAUGAAGUGAAAGACUUAUGAUUUAAGGUGGAAAAGAGGUUGAACAAAUGAAGAAAAAAGGUUUUAUCAUAGGUGGAAUCUGUCUUGCUGCUAUAGUUGGUAUUCUCGGUUACAAUCAUGAAGCUG
rnacentral:rRNA from 1 species